AAUAACACAGCUGAUAACAUAACUUUUUCCCCCAUCAGAUUAACCUUAUUGAUCUAGCCGAACCAUUAGCCAGUGUUUUUUUCUGAUGCAUUGGA
rnacentral:snoRNA from 1 species